rnacentral:lncRNA from 1 species
AAGAAAAUGUAUCAGGAAAAUACAUGAUGCAAAUUCAUGAAUUAUUAGGUGUCCAUCUAUAUUCCCAUGUCUCUAGAGUUAUCCAUGUGGUCCUAUAAAUAGAGGUCAUUCUUGUAGUCUCAUUGUAAGAAAAAAAAAGAAGAAAACAUUAUUGAGUGUGCUGUAGCAACUCAAAAACUAUCAAUAAAAAUUCAAGUUUUUCUUCAACACUUCGUUUCCGCACUAACAG